rnacentral:rRNA from 1 species
AACCCUUCGGGGUUAGCGGCGGACGGGUUAGUAACGCGUGGGAAUAUACCCUUUGGUACGGAAUAGCCUCGGGAAACUGAGAGUAAUACCGUAUGUGCCCUUCGGGGGAAAGAUUUAUCGCCAAAGGAUUAGCCCGCGUUGGAUUAGAUAGUUGGUGGGUAAUGGCCUACCAAGUCUACGAUCCAUAGCUGGUUUGAGAGGAUGAUCAGCAACACUGGGACUGAGACACGGCCCAGACUCCUACGGGAGGCAGCAGUGGGGAAUCUUAGACAAUGGGCGCAAGCCUGAUCUAGCCAUGCCGCGUGGACGAUGAAGGCCUUAGGGUUGUAAAGUCCUUUCAGAUGGGAAGAUAAUGACGGUACCAUCAGAAGAAGCCCCGGCUAACUCCGUG